GUGUGUCAUUCGGUCGGUGGCCGAAUCGGAGUAAAAAAUCAUCCUCCAUUGGUCACUGCUUCCAUCAUGAUCCCUAUCAAGCACGUGCAUACCGAUGGAGUCGUCUGUGAGUGGGUCCUUUUCUGGAUGGCUUCUUCUCCAACAAAUAUCAUGAAAAUGGAUGAACCCACCAUUUUGCUUAAAUCCGUGAUGUGGGUGUUUAUGUACUUCUAAACCACAGCUCCCUCGCUUUCUUGGCUUUUUCUCGUUUCAUGAGGGUCAUUCCCCUUCUUCAUCUUCCGGUUCCACCGGCACCGGCGAUCAGCACCACUCGUCGGCAGUCGAUACCUCCUUCCUACGCUCUUUGCAGACAUGGGUCAUUUCCGUUACGUUCCGGUUUGCGUUUUUUGUUUCGUUCUGUUAGGAAGUUUGAGCUAUUAGCUGCGAAUAAACAGUUGCCGGAGCUGAAGAACGAAAAAUCAGAGAGUGAAGAAGGUAUUUCGUUGCGAGCGGAGGAUGGCAAUAGAAUUGAUUUAGGAUGGUUGCCUGCUUUUCCUCAUGUUCUGGUUGCUUCCAUGUCUAAUUUUCUGUUCGGUUACCACAUAGGAGUAAUGAAUGGUCCUAUUAUUUCUAUUGCUCGAGAACUUGGUUUUGAGGGGAACUCGAUCCUUGAGGGUCUUGUUGUGAGCAUUUUUAUUGUUGGUGCAUUUCUUGGAAGUAUAAGCUCUGGUUCGCUGCUUGAUAAACUAGGAUUUAGGCGUACUUUUCAAAUUGCCACAAUACCCUUGAUUCUUGGUGCGCUGUUGAGUGCUCAAGCCCAUACCUUGGAUGAAAUACUUUGGGGAAGAUUUCUUGUUGGCCUUGGCAUUGGAGUUAAUACAGUGCUUGUUCCAAUUUAUAUCUCCGAGGUUGCUCCAACUAAGUAUAGAGGAACACUCGGAGGCCUGUGCCAGAUUGGAACAUGUCUUGGAAUUAUUGCCUCACUGUUUCUGGGAAUUCCAUCAGAGAAUGAUCCACAUUGGUGUGUGUGCUCCUCCCUUUUUGGUUUUCUUUUGAAAUGGUGGAGGACAAUGCUCUAUAUUGCAAGUCUUCCUGGAUUCUUUAUUGCAUUUGGCAUGCUGUUUGCAGUUGAAAGUCCACGCUGGCUAAGCAAGGCUGGGCGAUUGGAUGAAACCAGAGUUGUUAUCCGCGACCUAUGGGGAGAAUCUGAAGUUGAAAGAGCAGUCGAAGAGUUCCAGUCCGUAAUAAGGAAUGAUGGAAGUGAUUUGAACAGUGGAUGGUCAGAGCUUCUCGAGGAACAAAACUUUAAAGUGGCGUUCAUUGGAGGUUCCCUUUUCUUCCUUCAACAAUUUGCUGGCAUAAAUGGAGUUCUUUAUUUUUCAUCUUUGACCUUUCAAGACGUUGGAAUCACAAAUGUUGCUUUAGCCAGUUUAGUUAUUGGAAUUACCAAUUUUGCUGGUGCUCUCUGUGCGUUGUACUUGAUGGAUGAACAAGGGAGACAGAGGCUUUUAAUUGGAAGCUAUUUGGGCAUGGCAGUUUCAAUGUUGCUUGUCGUCUCUACCAUUAGUUUCCAGCUCGAUGAAGAACUGAGUCACAAUCUAUCGAUAGUAGGAACUAUUGCUUAUAUCUUCUCUUUCGCAAUCGGAGCCGGUCCAGUGACUGGUAUUAUUAUACCCGAGCUUAGCAGCACCCGAGCACGUGGGAAGAUCAUGGGAUUCAGCCUUGCAGUUCACUGGGUAUGCAAUUUCUCAGUGGGUCUAUUCUUUCUCGACUUGGUCCAAACAUUUGGAGUUGCUCCAGUUUAUGCCAGCUUUGGUGCAUGUUCCUUUGUGGCUGCCAUAUUUUCCAAGUACUUUUUAGUGGAAACAAAGGGGAGGUCUUUGGAGGAGAUCGAGAUGGCACUAAAUCCCAACUUCCAUGGCAGUGACAAGUAAUGCAGAGAUUGACCUAAUCACUUUACUGGUUAAUUGCUGCACCAUUUUAUCAGUACGAAAUAAAAAAUUUGCACGAAUGCUUUGUUGUCGCCGACUUGAGCAUAUCUCAACUGAUUUAGGCAUAUGCUGUCGACCAAAAAGUCAGAGGUUCCAAUUUCCUCCCAAAAAGAAUGUCGGGCUCUUAUUAAUAGAGUUCAAUGAAACCAUUGAAGGGCAGUUCGGUAAUUUGGACACAAGAGUAAAGCUCAGCUAAAAGAAUUGAGAUUCUCUCUCUCUUUCUUUGUGAAUCACAGGAUUUGUGGAAUGCAAGCAAGAUGAACACAGUUGGAAGUGGGAGCCUUUUAGAAAUGGCUUGUUUGGGAAGGCAUAUCAGAAACUGAAAGCAGCUGUUUGGACACAGGUUUGUGAAAUUCUUGGGAUUGAAACAAUAAAACCAGAAUAGGGUUACUCCAAACCUGGAUAUGGAUGGCAUUUCAAGACUGAUCUGAUACAGAUGGGUUGAAAGUUUCAAAAAUUUUGGUGGGUUUUGAAAACAGAAAUCACAGGUAAGGUUAAAACGUAAGGCAAUACAAAAUUAAAGAGCGACGGUUUUGGAAUCAGAAGGCGACGGGCUCUUAGUUCAAGGUGAGAAAGAAGAAGAAACUGAAAUACAGCCAUUGGAAUUGAUCAUGGCUUUAAACCCAGGACCUGUUGAUCCCAAUGUUUUGUACGACCAGUCCAUUCAUCAAUCAUCUGUUGUAUGGCGAGAUCGUACUACUAGAGAAAUAUGUUGCAGGUGUCGAGAGGCAGUUCUCCAACACACUAUCCCGAUCUACCCUCAAAUACUACCGCUACUGCGCACAUCUGGAUUCUAUGGGGUUGCCAGAUUAGGAUUUAUUCAGUUGGACUGGCAUCUGAUUACAGCCUUGGUCGAGAGAUGGAGGCCCGAGACGCAUACAUUCCAUAUGUCUGUUGGAAAGUGCACUAUCACUCUACAAGACAUAGAAGUAUUGUUGGGGUUACCUGUUGAUGGUGAGCCGGUCACCGAGUGAUAUACGAUGACUGGUUAGAAGUUUGUCAACUGUACUUCGGUGCGAACUCACCUGCUGACAAGAUUAAAGGAUCGAGGUUAAGUUUAAUAUGGUUAGGAACACAAUUUCGUGAGCUCACAGAUGAUGCAGAUGAGGAAACCGUCAUAAGAUAUGCGC